rnacentral:misc_RNA from 1 species
GUGAUGGCUAUUCAAUCUUGUGAAUAUGAGGAAUCUGCAUUUCAAAUGCAAGGGCAGGAUAUGGAAGAUGGGGAAGAAGUGUGGCAUGAUGUUGUGGAAGGGGAUGGAAGUGGAGUUGCAGAUAAGAUAACCCUUUCUGUACACCCUAAGAACAGGGAGUUAUUGAUUUUAAUUGACUCUGGCAGCACUCAUAGCUUCUUAGAUGUUAAAGUAGCAAGGAGCACUCAUAGCUUCUUAGAUGUUAAAGUAGCAAGGGAUUUGAAGGUGCCUGUAGUAGAUGUGACUGCUUUUGCAGCAACAGUAGCUGAUGGCAGAAGAAU